UUGCAUUACAAAAUAGAAAUGAUUAUAUCCAUAAAAAUGUGAAUUUCAAAUUGAUAAAUUUGUUUGAUUUCAUUGUUUCAAUUUAUACUAUGGACGAGGCAUAGGAAUUAUUUUCUUUUAUUUCAGGAUGUUAACAGAAAGCAGGAUGUCAAAGACGUGGUUACAGUAUUUUAUCAAAAUUUUAUUUUUGGUCAGUGAACGCUUAAAAAGGAAAUUCAAUUAAUUACAGAUUUGCAGGCACUUCCUCAGUUGGCAACUGGCAUAAAGGAUAUUAUUACAUACAGCAGUUUUUGCAACGCAGAUUUGCAGUGCACGAGACUGAUCAAUAUAACUUGGCUUAUCAUAGGCUUCGCCAGUGUUCAUGUUAUUUGUGGAGUCUUCGUGUUCUUCUAUUCGUGUACAACCACUAUUUACCAGCCACUGAUUUGUUUCGUAAUGUGGAGUGUUUGUAUCUCGAGCCUUGCCAUUUAUCAUGUGAAACAGUUAUGGGAGCUUGAGCAGGUUUUGUCCACUACUUUAGCAAUAACUUUGGCGCUUGCAACAACAUAUAUAUUACUGGUCUUAGCAGAAAUUUUACUUCAUGUUAAACUUAUAUGUCUUCAAGAAGAUGAUAAAACUCGAUUGCAAGUUCUGAAUGAACACGACUUUAGCAUACUAAUGAUGCCGGAGAAAGGAUUUUAAAAAGAAAAAGUAUUAACUAUUUCAUUUUUUUUUUAAAUGACAGAUUCAUCUAAGAAGAGACGUUAUUGGUUAUGUUUACGUCAAAUUUUGAAGUUCAUCUUAUUUGUGUUUUACAAAAGUUCUACAGAAAUGUAUGAAGCAGACGACAAAUAAUGCCUUGUUUCAUAAAUCUAUUUUCACGUAAUGUUCAGAUUAGAAUAUGAGGUUCUUAGAACACUGGUAUCAUCUCUGCCGACUGUUGCUUUUUUACGUAACUGUCUAAGCCAACUUUUGACCUACUUAAAGAACCAAUGAAAGAUGUUAAUUUAUAUAAAAACAGCGGGACUGGACAGAAAUGAAUACAUGCAUAUUUUUUAUUGGCUGAAAUGAAUAAAUCGUUUCACGCAAAUACGUUUAAGCUUGUUUA